rnacentral:rRNA from 1 species
GACGAACGCUGGCGGCGUGCUUAACACAUGCAAGUCGAGCGGUAAGGCCUUUCGGGGUACCCGAGCGGCGAACGGGUGAGUAACACGUGGGUGAUCUGCCCUGCACUUCGGGAUAAGCCUGGGAAACUGGGUCUAAUACCGGAUAUGACCUCCUAUCGCAUGGUGGGUGGUGGAAAGAUUUAUCGGUGCAGGAUGGGCCCGCGGCCUAUCAGCUUGUUGGUGGGGUAAUGGCCUACCAAGGCGACGACGGGUAGCCGACCUGAGAGGGUGACCGGCCACACUGGGACUGAGACACGGCCCAGACUCCUACGGGAGGUAGCAGUGGGGAAUAUUGCACAAUGGGCGAAAGCCUGAUGCAGCGACGCCGCGUGAGGGAUGACGGCCUUCGGGUUGUAAACCUCUUUCAGCAGGGACGAAGCGCAAGUGACGGUACCUGCAGAAGAAGCACCGGCUAACUACGUG